AAACAAGCAGGUAGUAUUCUUCCUACAACUCAAUGAUUCACUCGUAGAUAGUAAUCAAGAACAGCAGAGAUAACAUCAAUUUUCUUUAACGUCUACAGAAUAUGUUUAGUUACAACAGUUAAUUCAAAAAGUCUUGGGCUGUAGAUGAACUGCCACGAUGAAAUGAAACCGUCUCAAACUAUCUCGAAUCACCCAUUCCUG
rnacentral:lncRNA from 1 species